rnacentral:rRNA from 1 species
GACGAACGCUGGCGGCGUGGAUUAGGCAUGCAAGUCGAACGGUAUCAUCCUUUCGGGGGUGAGAGAGUGGCGAACUGGUGAGUAACACGUAGGUUAUCUACCCUCAAGACGGGGACAACCCAGGGAAACUUGGGCUAAUACCGGAUGUGAGCAACUUUUAGUUGUUUGAAAGGUGGCGUAAGCUGUCGCUUGGGGAUGAGCCUGCGUCCUAUUAGUUAGUUGGUGAGGUAACGGCUCACCUAGGCAAUGAUAGGUAGGCGGCCUUAACGGGUGGUCGCCCACACUGGGAUUGAGAUACGGCCCAGACUCCUACGGGAGGCAGCAGUCGAGAAUAGUCUACAAUGGUCGGAAGACUGAUAGUGCGACGCCGCGUGAACGAUGAAUCCCUUCGGGGUGUAAAGUUCUUUUAUAUGUGAGCAGUGCUUCUUAAUAUUAACAGUAUGGGGAGAGAGAUAUUAGCAUAUGAAUAAGCAACGGCUAACUCCGUGCCAGCAGCCGCGGUAAUCUCG